rnacentral:rRNA from 1 species
UACAGAGAGUGCGAACGUUGUUCGGAAUCGCUGGGCUUAAAGCGCACGUAGGCGGCAUCGUAAGUGUCUGGUGAAAUCCCACGGCUCACCCGUGGAACUGCCCGGCAGACUGCGAUGCUUGAGUGUGGUAGGGGAGAACGGAACUCCUGGUGGAGCGGUGAAAUGCGUAGAUAUCAGGAGGAACACCGGUGGCGAAGGCGGUUCUCUGGUCCACAACUGACGCUGAGGUGCGAAAGCUAGGGGAGCAAACGGG